CAAGCACUUCGUUAGGCGAAGCUCCUGCACGAACACAGGCCACUGAUCUCACGACGUCGAGAGACGCCCAAGGUUAGGACAGGUCCUCCCGGAUUAAGGGUUGACCCGAAGUGGCUUCCGUCCGCUCCCGCGGACGGACACGUCGUGCAGUGCCGAAGCUCUUACGUGGAAGUCGUUC
rnacentral:sRNA from 2 species